ensembl:lncRNA
GCUGACCCAUGGCUCGCCAUGGAGAUGGAUCCCUGGGACUCCAUGGUCCAGGACCUUCCUGAUUCCUGGAAGAGCCUGGGAGAGAUGGCUGCAGAGUGGCUGCAAUCCUGGACCUCAAAAUACAAGGGCCAGAACAGGUCUCUGUUCCUGAAGAAUGCAGGCAAGAACCUCUUCACCCCAGUGGAUGUGCUCAACUACUUCUGCUCUGUCAAAAGGGAUAUGUUUUUGAAGGCGCAGACUGUCCCACCAGAGGGGCGCAAAGACACAGUAUUGCGUCUCCCUGAAUCCUCCAGAUCUAAGCCAAUCCAUCGUCUUGGAGAGACCUACAGCAUGUCCAGGAUACGCAAGCCUCCAG